UAGGGAAUCUUCCACAAUGGACGAAAGUCUGAUGGAGCAACGCCGCAUGAGUGAAGAAGGGUUUCGGCUCGUAAAACUCUGUUGUUAAAGAAGAACAUAUCUGAGAGUAACUGUUCAGGUAUUGACGGUAUUUAACCAGAAAGCCACGGCUAACUACGUGCCCG
rnacentral:rRNA from 1 species